ensembl:lncRNA
GCGUUGCCUUGCCCCUGGCCGCCGCGGCGGCGCCCGCCCGCGCCUGCAUCCGGGUCUUGGCGCGCUGCUCUCCGUGCGUGGCGGCCAGCGGCAGCAGGCGUGAGGGACGUGCCAUCUUUGCGGCGGUGACAGCGGCAAGGGUCGGUCUUUGCGAGUCUGAGGGAACCGGGAUUACUGAGGAGAAGGCCUUCCUGUGGUACUCAGCUGUUUUUCCUUUUUCACAUUCAUCCUUGAAGUUCUCUUCACUGUGGGAUGAGGUAGUAGGUUGUAUAGUUUUAGGGUCACACCCACCACUGGGAGAUAACUAUACAAUCUACUGUCUUUCCUAAGGUGAUGGAAAAGUCUACAUCCAGGCAGCCUUAUGGAAAGCCACCAUAAAAUGAGCAGCCUCUUAUCUGCCAUGUUCCUCUGCCAUGCUGUCCUGCCUUGGAGCCACUGCACUAUCGACUAUACAAACUAAGAAAGUCAGAAAGAUCUGAGGCAUGAAGGUGGUUGACACCAAGGACAUGCAGCUGAGAUGAAAGAGAACACAUGACAAGGAUCGCGAUGUAGCCUCCUGAAACUGAGCAGGAUUUGUGGCCAACAGCAAGAGAGACAACAGAGACUUUGGUCCUAUCAGCACAAAAAUUAAACUCAACCAACAACCUGUGAGCUUGGAAGAGACCCAAGACCACAGAGAGAACUACAGCCUUGGCCACCAAAGUGAUUUCAGUCUGAUGAGAUCUCAAGCAGCAAAUCCAGCUACCUGUACAAGCUGCAAAAACUGUGCAAUAAUUUAUUCAUGUAGUGCAAACCUGCUAAAUAAAGCUGGUAUAACUCAGCAGUAAUAGACAAGUAGAUUCUCAAAACAGAA